AGGAAAUGAGCUAUCGACAUUUCCGUGGUGCAUCUAUUGCCCGUUUCUAUUUGUAAACACUCAAAAUGGCCGCCCCCUGUCACCUCUGUGGGAGUAGUGCUAGAAAUCUCUAUCUGUUAUCCGGGAGGAAGAAAAGCGAGGAUGUUCUUGAAGUGAUAGCUGCCAACUUUAGUUUUGUAUCUAUAAUAAAGAAAAGUAUACAGAAAUUGUUGGAGGACAUUAGAGCUUUUCGCAGGUCUUAAAAGAUCAUUUGCUAUAGGUACUACGGGACGUAAUCGCUGCGUGGAAUUGCCACAGUAACGUGAAAAGAAACAAAUGACCACUUUCUACGAGUUGUAUGUCUAAAGAGUGACUAUGCUAUAUAUUCUUUUUCUUUUGUUUUUGCUAUUUCUAUACUAAAUUCAUUUUAGAAACAUUCUGGUGAAUGCUAAAAGAUAUAUUGUAAAAAGUGCUUUGUCACCAUUUUGUUUAAAGGGUGGGGCGUAGAUGUAACCGAUUUUUGUUUAAACACACGUUUUCAGCUGUAUUUCAGGUUAUAUUAAGAUAGUGGGCCCGUAACGGUAAUGUUUAACAAAUGCAUUAAUUGAUACAGUCU
rnacentral:lncRNA from 1 species